UAAUAGAAAGAAAAAAAAAAAAUUGAUUAAUUAGAUUGGAUUAUAACCAUAGGCAAUAGUAUUUAUGAAUAUGAAAUACUCUUCUCUUAUUGGAACGUUUUUUUUUUCUCCUGCUCUCUCUUUUUGGGAAUGGAAAGAUGCAGCUAAGGUCAAAUACUGUAUAAGGCCAAGCUAAGAAGCAAUUGUUCGACUGAGCACAAAGUGAGUGACCUUUGAAGUAUCUUCUGUUGCAAUCCAUCCAAAUACUGUAUACCAGUGCGGCAAAGGCAUAAUGUUAACUAGAGGUUCUAGGGUUAGCUUUCUCCUUCCAUAGUUGACAAGUCAAUUCAUCCGUAGAGGAUGGACGUGUGUGGAAUGCACGCAACGUGCUUGUAAAAAUUUCCAAAUGGGAGAUAUAAAUGGGCAUUGAAUGAAAAAGUGGUUGUGAGAUUCAGGAUAGGUAGAACACAAAUUGGGAACGUGGUUGGGAGCUUGUGGUGGAUUGCAAGCCAAAGAAUGAAGUUAUGCUUGGGUAAUAGUAAUACAAGGGGAGAACCAAGUGAAGUGAGUCCAUGGAAGGGGAAGAGGAAUUUGGCAGUGUGAGAGAGGGAGAAAUUGCCUGUGGGUUAGGGAAGAAGCCUUUUGACCUUAUAAUGCCUAUCAAGAGCCAACAUUGGCAGAGCAUUUGGGCUGUUAAAGCUGUGGGAUCAUGGUUAAGAGAGAAGGAGGCAGUUUCCAUGAGGAGCCAUUAAUGAAAGCACUAACCUUUGUAUUGAGCUCAAAGGGAGAGUUCUGAAUUUUCUCUGUUGUAAAUAAGGUGUGCAAAGGGCCUAUGGAGCACCAGUUGUCAAACCAGAAAUUGGAGUUCAUACCUUUACCAUUUUCUAUUUUGACAAGGGUUUUGAUGGUCGGCCUGAGUUGGAGAAGCUUUUACCAAUUCCAAGAGCACUGUUGUGGAAUCUUCAGAAGCCGUAUGCAUCUACCUCUUAACAGGGCUGCCAUUUUUUGCGCAGUUGAUGUGUCAGCUCCAUAUUUCAGAUCUCUGAUGUACCUUAAUAGAUGGGGUUAAAUGGCAUUGGUUGCUUUGGUUUCUCAUUGGGGAUGACCUGAUAGUAUCUUCUGCUGUUGUUCCGGCCGAAGUUUGACACACUACACUUGUUGGUUUGGAUGCAUAUGGUAUUCUGAAAGAGAACUAAGACUGCUCAUUCACAGGUGACAUUUUUGUCUCAGGUUCACUUCAGCAGUUCUCUUCACUGUAUUCAGUUGAUUAUUUUAUGGUUAAUGCUUCUACUUUUAAAAGGAAAAUUUUCAUUCCUCACACGCUGUUUGUAUGUUUUUAUUUCUUUUUUACUUUGAAAAUUGCCUGUUCCUUUUUGGUCGUUAUAAAUUCGUUCAUCAUCUUCCUGAGGACAAUUUUUGGUGCGCUCUCUCUCUCUUAAAGAAAGAACAGUAGAUAUAUACACACAUAUAACUGUAGCAUUUAAACAGAAUACAUUUCAAGCCAUUUGGAAGGUUUAGAAAUCCUAAACCUUGCAAGACAUAAUCCAAGACUCAUGAAACAAGAAAACACUUGAUAGAACACCAUUCAAACCUUAAUAACCUGAAGAAAGAAUACAUUGCCAAAAACAAGAGCCUGAACUUCAGAGAUGAUGCGCACCUAGAUAUAGGCUGGAUGAAGUUUGGCUGGAGACUUACUUCUCUCAUGCAGAGGCAGCAAUUUACUGGUCGUGCUGAAUUGCUUUAUCCAAUUCGAAGUUUUGUUUUUCAAUUACUAAUUUAUUGCCACGGAAGUUUUCCUGCCAUGCACUUGUAGAGAGCCAAUUCAUGUGUGGCCAUGCCAUUGUGUAUUGUUUAAAUCCAUAUUUCUUCUCCUCGAAAUUCCAGCUUACCGGUGCAAUGGCUUUCUUCGAGUAGGCCUUGGUUAGAGGUUAAUCCUAUCAGUGAAUGGUAGGCCAAGAAUGUCAUAUACAACAAAUCUAACGUUCUUCUUCUGUUUCACUCGUAUAUUUCCCCAUUUGUUUGUACUUAUUUGUAAUAUUUUAUCGAAACAAGGGUUCCAAGAUCUGUAUAAAAUUAUAGUAACAUAAUUGGUAAUUAACCUAAUUAUUUCAUUUUCACAGUCAGUAGGAAAUUUAAUAAUAAUGUUAUAUAUAUCUAAGUAUUUGGUUAAUAAAUGUGAUAUUGAGGCUCCACAACAAAAAAUAAAAAAUAAAAAAAUGUAUAGGCCGGUGAGUAUAUGAUAAAGCAACAGUACUGAAAGCAAGUCUGUAUUUCAGGAAAUCAGAAUUGUAUGGUAGGACUCACAUCCCACCGGAAUUGAGUCACGGGUGAGGUGCCCCAGAUUCACCACUUGUUUAAACAAUCAUAAGAUAAUUCAUUUCUUCUAAGAUAGAAACCAUGCCAAUAAAUUAGGUAAACAGAGUACUGCAUAUUGAUGUUUAAGUUAUAGAAUAUAAGACACAAUAAUGAUCUCUCUGCUCUCUCUCUCUCUCUCUCCCAAUUAUCCAUGUCCUGCUGCAGCUUAUGGCUGCUAAAUUGAUCAUAUAAUAUGCAGUUCUCUUGCUAACA